UAGAAUGUCACAAAACGACUGGCC
rnacentral:piRNA from 1 species